rnacentral:rRNA from 1 species
UGGGGAAUUUUGCGCAAUGGGGGAAACCCUGACGCAGCAACGCCGCGUGAGUGAUGAAGGCCUUCGGGUCGUAAAGCUCUGUCAGAGGGGAAGAAAUGCAGGGGCGCUAAUAUCGCUUAUGCUUGACGGUACCCUCAAAGGAAGCACCGGCUAACUCCGUGCCAGCAGCCGCGGUAAUACGGAGGGUGCGAGCGUUGUUCGGAAUUAUUGGGCGUAAAGCGCGUGUAGGCGGUUUUUUAAGUCUGAUGUGAAAGCCCUGGGCUCAACCCGGGAAGUGCAUUGGAAACUGGGAGACUUGAAUACGGGAGAGGGCAGUGGAAUUCCUGGUGUAGGAGUGAAAUCCGUAGAUAUCAGGAGGAACACCGGUGGCGAAGGCGGCUGCCUGGACCGAUAUUGACGCUGAGACGCGAAAGCGUGGGGAGCAAACAGG